UGGGGCUAAAGCUGUGCAAGCUGGAUUAAAUUGGAUCAGUUUUAUGUUGAGCUGUUGGGGUUUAUCCUUCUCCAUGCAUGCUGUGCCCCCUAUUUCAACUGGCCCUAAAUUGUCUGCUGCCACGCACGCUAUAGUAACACACAGCAAAAUGAUACAAUUGUUUCGACAUUUUUCGGCUUGCAUUCUCUCUGGUGACAGAUUAGAAUUGUGGUAAUAUAAUUUUCAGAACUCAACAACCUCAACUCAUGAUGUCACAUCCAGAACAAAACGUUCUAAUUUAAUUGAGCAACAUCAAAGGUAUCCACUUCUAUUAGCAUAAUCUCAAGAGCUUUGCCUCCAUCAUACUCCAAUCUGGGGUCCCACAUUAAACGGAUUUCUUGGAGAUUGCCACACACAAAUCCUAUGGGAGAGAUCUCCAGCUGCUUAAAUUGGAACCCAGCACUCAAGACAAGACGAGGGCCCAAGUUGACACAAGCAGUCUCGUGGAUCCCAGCAGUCAUAUCACACACGCCGAACCAGAUCAGUGAUCAGCUGGAAAAGUGCAUAAGUAAACGUCACCCUCUUGUCUGUGCCUACUCUGCACACCUGAACUCACAUUGACACGCAAAGAUAUGACACGUGAGUCCUCGAGCUCUUAUCUGAAGAACACAUAUGAUAACUUAUUCAUAAGAGUGAAGCAGACCAUAAAUUGCAAGUGGCAUAUGGAUUUUGAUCCCCAAAGCCGAAUAACAGGAGGAGCAACACAUGGCACCACAGAUGUGGCAGCCAUCAAUGACCUGAGAAAGAUCAAGGGCGUAAAAUAAAUCAAAACAACACAUUGUAAAAAUACGUUACAUUGGAACCUUUCCUCUUCUGUCAACGCACCAGGAGCACUCACUACAAUGUCACAGGCUUGAUAUGGCAUCGUAGGUCUUUUUUUUUUUUUUUGUAAACGUGUUUUUGGAGACCUUAGCUAUGAGUGACUUUUGCGGUAAUGGCUUAUAUUCUGACGCUGAAUUUUGCCAAUAGUGUAUUCUGUUUUGACGGGUGCUGCGUUUUCAAGGGCAGCAUUGAUAAUGUGGCGAUCAUUAUCUAUUUCCCGCAGGUAAUCAUCAAUUGUCACAUUGCAGAUGUCAGCAGGCUGAAUGCGCUCUCGCGAAUGGCCCUGUGAUGAAUGGAAACAAAGCGCUAGACUGUGGCCGCUGCCUCUGUACUCGCUGUCAGCCCAAUAACAGACAGACAGGCAGGAGGACAUGAGGGCAGUGUGGGGUGUGCAGAUGCCUGUAACGUAUUGUCCAAUGUAUGUAGAGUAUAUAUUGUCCUGUGUUGUAUUAUUGUCCAAUGUCUGUUGUGUAUUGUAUACUGUAAGUAUUGUUCAUGGGGGGCCUGUCCUCUCAGACAAGUUCCUCCGAUGGGAGACCAAAUAAAGAGUCAAAUCAAAUCAAUAUACAGAACUUUUUUCUAAAACUGGGCUAUGGGGCGCUCAUUAUGGAGACCUCAGAAUCUUGCCUGGCAACAACUUAAGCAGAGAUGGGCAACUUAAUUGCUGGAGGAGGGCGCAAUUUUUCAUCACUUGAGAGGGGUGUGGGGGGACAAGCCAGGACCUGCCUUAAAGGUUUUAAUGAAGCACUAAACAUUUAUAAUGAUGGAUAUGCUGAAAGCAAAACUACACUCUCUUGAAGAGUCUUAUGUGCUUUUGACCCUUCUUUGGGGGGAUUUUGAGGAGGCGAGAGUUGAAAGAUUCUCACCAGAGCAGAGGUCAGCACUCUGGACAGCACCACCAAGACAAGCCUCCCUGCCAAUCAAGUCAAAGACUGCCGGCUGUCAGCUUUGCACCAGGCAGCAUUAGCAGGGCACAUCUCUGACACUCUGUGGAGACUUAACCUCAGCUUAUGUGCAACUUCAUCAUGUGUUACAUCCUCUCCAGCUGGAUUUCACUUCUGCCUUUGGACUCAUGUGUCAAAGGUCCUAUUAUUGUCACACUCCGCAUCCAGACCACGGCCUCUCACUUUAUUGUCGCUGACAUUUAUAUCAGCAAAAUUCAGUUAUAUGUUCAUGGUUCAUUACAUUUCAUAUGUAAUCCUUUCAUCUGAAGUUGACUACUGUACAUAUAAUAGUAGACUGAGUCUGUAGGUUUGUCAUCAAUUAAUGUUAUCCAACAGUCCUGCAGCAGGGCAGGGAGUGAAAUUUAGUUCACUUUCAGACAUUUCAGACAUUCAGACAUCUAUCUUCGAAAGUGCUUCUCCUCCCAAUCCAUUACAAUUGUUUGAUUUUACUAUCUUUUAUUGCAUACUUCUGGAGAUGGUAGAAUCAACCUUUACUUUUCAACAUUUUUAGCGGGUAAAAUCUGAAUAUACCAAUAUCUAGUCUGCUCAAUAAUAAAACAAGGUCCUACAUACAAUCUUCAACCCAUACAGUAUUUAAUAACAAUGAUAAUUCAACUGAAAUUGGGGAAAACGUGCAAUGAUUAAAUAUGAAUUGAAAGGCAAGAAUUUUCCAAAGGUGAACCAUUAACAAACAAUUUUCCCUCUAACAAGGGAAACAUUAAAACUACACACAUCAUGGAUAAUAACGAGGUGUAAUUGAAAAGCUCCAUGGGGUCUGCUCAAAUUGAGGAGAUUAUACGCACAUGACCUAGAAAACUUUAGCUUAUUCUUUGAACAGCUCGCUGCAUUGACAACUUUUGAGGCGGUGGAGGAAUGAAAAGGGAAAAUAAAGAAUGCAGGCACGAGAGAAGUAUACUGGGUGCCGGGGAAGGUUUUUGUGUGAAGGAUUUAGAGGAAAUGAUUGAAAAUGCAUGCAAGAAAAGAAUGCUUGUCGCCUUGACAAAAUUCGUUUGGCUAUUUAUUUUGGCAAAGUCCAAGAAAAUACAAGACAAGGAUGCACAUCUUUGGGUUAGAUUCCCUCAACUGCAGAACCGCAGAUUUAUUUUAAAUGUGGUACUUAUUUGAGAGGUAUUUAAUGUACAAAUGCUUGAUUCAAAUUUUCAUUUGCUGUUCAACUAUAAAGACUCGAAAAUGUGGAUUUUUGUUUGUCUUAUCCUGUACAGUUAUUCUAAUUUAGCGAUUUGCUCUUUUCAACUCAAUAUAUGUCAUGAUCCUGUUCUUGUGUUUCACCAGGAGGUGGCAGUAGAAGGCUUCUCUUGACGCGUGCACACCUGCUACCAAUUUGCUCAUCAUGAUUGAAGCCACUGCCAAGAUCAUGUCUCUUGUCGGAUUAUUGACCUUGUUGCUGCUCUUGCUCAAGUGUUGUUUUCUUGACCUCUCGAUCUCGCCAUAGUGUUUUUUUUACGCUCUAGUCUCUCGCCUGACUUGGUAAGUAUUUGUUUUUUUUUUACUUUGACCAUGCUCAUGUUUUUGUUUUCAUGAAAUUAAACUUUUGUUAUUUCGUUCAUAUCUCAGAGUUUCUUUUUCCUAGGCUUUGCAAGCGCUUUUUGUUCCUGUAUAGUUUUCCUGGUUCUUUUGACCAGUGAUUUCUGUUGACACUUUGUCUAUACGUUUUUGUAUUAAAUACUUUUGUACGGACUUUUGUUUGAGUUCACGAUUGUGUGAUCCGAUCGCCAUUCAGUUCAUUCCCGAGCUGUGUCAAUAGGUUGCUUAGUUUGACUAAAUGCCCAUUUUCAAGAACUGCAGCUUUUAAAUGCUACUUGGGGUUGCUAAUGAUAAGAAUUAAAAGAGUUUACCUCACUCAAUGUCACAACACUGUGAUCACCCAUCCAAUGUAUGUGCACAUCUCUACUUAUGCCCACACCAACCUCCAAAAAUAUACCGAUCACCCCAAUACUUUGUAUUUUAUGGACAAAGCGUUUUCCUCAUUAAGCAACAUGAGCUUCUGUUGUGAGCGCCAAUUUGGAGAGGAAAAUGCUCUAUCCAUAAAAUUGACCAUAUUCGGGCAAUCAUUCUAAUAUUCUCAGCGGCCGAUGUCAACAUACAUUUUGGUGACUGAUCACAAUUUUCAGACAGAAGACAACGUAUGGGUCUUGUACGUCACGUAUUUCGAUUGUACCCGGCACAAUCACAGUACCGCAAGUGAGAAGGGACAUAUUACAUUGGGAUCAGCACUGAAAGAGGCAUUUGAACCGGUUUCACAAAAUAAACCACAGGAGCCACAAACCCUUUGGUCAGGUAAAAUGCCUGCCACAAGCACCAAUUGAACUAGAUGGCCCAUUGGAAGUGAUGUUAGAUGAAUAGCAAGUGAUGUCAGACGAUCUGCCAUCAUGGAUGUGGCCAUCAUAUUAGAAAUCCGCAAUUACCGGAAAUAAUAAUGGUAAAACUGAGUUUGAAUGACAUAGUACAAUCAAAAUUAAAGACUAUUGACGAAAUGAGUAGAGUGUGAUAGCAUCAAAAGUAUGGCAUAAAGUUGUCUACUGUCUAAAGAAUAUUCAUGACAAAUGCACUCCAUUCUUACCGUAAUGCCUAUUAAGGUGACAAACGUCCAAUAAAGAAUGUUUUCCAAGCUCAACUUCCAGCCCUCUUGGCCACACUGUCUUUUGAUUUACUCAACUUGCAUGCAGAUAAUUACCGCCGCACAGAUCAGUAAUUAUGUACAAGAAACAGCACAUGUAUCUGUGGCUGGAAAUAGUAAUACGAGCAUCCCAAGGGAAGUGGGAUGAAGCCACUGACUUUGCAGCUUCAGACAGUCUUUCUACAUUAG